rnacentral:rRNA from 1 species
CGACCACUCAGAGCUGGAAACUUGUUCAAACUUGGUCAUUUAGAGGAAGUAAAAGUCGUAACAAGGUUUCCGUAGGUGAACCUGCGGAAGGAUCAUUACCGAGUUAGGGUCUUCUAGGCCCGACCUCCCAACCCUGUGUCUAUCCAACCUUUUGUUGCUUCGGCGAGCCCGUCCCCCCUGGGGACCGCCGGAGGACCGUCUACACGUCCUCUGGCCCGCGCUCGCCGAUGGCCCAAAACCAAAACUCUUGAACCAAACGUGAAUUGUCUAAGUACCAUAUUUAAUCAAAACAAAACUUUCAACAACGGAUCUCUUGGUUCUGGCAUCGAUGAAGAACGCAGCGAAAUGCGAUAAGUAAUGCGAAUUGCAGAAUUCCAGUGAGUCAUCGAAUCUUUGAACGCACAUUGCGCCCUUUGGCAUUCCGAAGGGCAUGCCUGUUCGAGCGUCAUUAUCACCUCUCAAGCCCCUCGGGUUUGGCCUUGGACGGCUGGUUGGGCUUCGCCCGACCCCUCCUAAAGAUAACGACGGCGGCUUUGUCUGACCCCCGGUACACUGAGCUUCUUGACUGAGCACGUAUCGGAACGCGGGUUGGCGGGCCACGGUCUUCUCCCUUUGCAGGGAAAAUUUUCUCAGGUUGACCUCGGAUCAGGUAGGGAUACCCGCUGAACUUAAGCAUAUCAAUAAGCGGAGGAAAAGAAACCAACAGGGAUUGCCUCAGUAACGGCGAGUGAAGCGGCAACAGCUCAAAUUUGAAAUCUGGCCUCUUUAGGGGUCCGAGUUGUAAUUUGUAGAGGAUGUUUCGGGUACCGCUCCGGUUUAAAUUUCUUGGAACAGAAUGUCAAAGAGGGUGAGAAUCC